AGAACGAACGCUGACGGCAUGCCUAAUACAUGCAAGUCGAACGAACUCUUCGGAGUUAGUGGCGCACGGGUGCGUAACGCGUGGGAAUCUGCCCCUUGGUUCGGAAUAACAGUUGGAAACGACUGCUAAUACCGGAUGAUGACGAAAGUCCAAAGAUUUAUCGCCAAGGGAUGAGCCCGCGUAGGAUUAGCUAGUUGGUGAGGUAAAGGCUCACCAAGGCAACGAUCCUUAGCUGGUCUGAGAGGAUGAUCAGCCACACGUGGGACU
rnacentral:rRNA from 1 species